rnacentral:rRNA from 1 species
UACGGGGGGGGCAAGCGUUGUUCGGAAUUACUGGGCGUAAAGGGCUCGUAGGUGGCCAACUAAGUCAGACGUGAAAUCCCUCGGCUUAACCGGGGAACUGCGUCUGAUACUGGACGGCUUGAGUUUGGGAGAGGGACGCGGAAUUCCAGGUGUAGCGGUGAAAUGCGUAGAUAUCUGGAGGAACACCGGUGGCGAAGGCAGCCUUCUGGGCCAACACUGACGCUCAUGCACGAAAGCGUGGGGAGCAAACAGG